CUACGGGGCGCUCCAGUGAGGAAUUUUGCGCAAUGGGGGAAACCCUGACGCAGCAACGCCGCGUGAGCGAAGAAGGCCCUUGGGUCGUAAAGCUCUGUCAAGUGGGAAAAAAAUCUUUUGAUCAAUAGUUAAAAGACUUGAUGGUACCACUGGAGGAAGCACCGGCUAACUCCGUGCCAGCAGCCGCGGUAAUACGGAGGGUGCAAGCGUUGUUCGGAAUUACUGGGCGUAAAGGGCGUGCAGGCGGUUUGGCAAGUCAGAUGUGAAAGCCCUGGGCUUAACCCGGGAAGUGCAUUUGAAACUGCCUUUCUUGAGUAUGGGAGAGGAGAGUGGAAUUCCCAGUGUAGAGGUGAAAUUCGUAGAUAUUGGGAGGAACACCCGUGGCGAAGGCGACUCUCUGGACCAAUACUGACGCUGAGACGCGAAAGCGUGGGGAGCAAACAGGAUUAGAUACCCCCGUAGUC
rnacentral:rRNA from 1 species